rnacentral:rRNA from 1 species
CAGCCGCCGCGGGAAUACAGAGGGUGCAAGCGUUAAUCGGAAUUACUGGGCGUAAAGCGCGCGUAGGUGGUUUGUUAAGUUGGAUGUGAAAGCCCCGGGCUCAACCUGGGAACUGCAUCCGAAACUGGCAAGCUAGAGUACGGUAGAGGGUGGUGGAAUUUCCUGUGUAGCGGUGAAAUGCGUAGAUAUAGGAAGGAACACCAGUGGCGAAGGCGACCACCUGGACUGAUACUGACACUGAGGUGCGAAAGCGUGGGGAGCAAACAGGAUUAGAUACCCGAGUAGUCCCUGUCUCUUAUAA